ensembl:lncRNA
UGAGCAUCAGAAUCAUGCUGAAACAAUUCAUUCAAUCAUCUACAUAUUCGUCCUGGUCAGAGUCUCAGUCGUCUCACAAGUCAGACUUUUAGCUAAAGCAUUAAAUGCCAUGUUUUGACUUGGUGGGCGAAAACUGGAGAACCUCAUGAAACUCUGCAAACAUGACCCCAGUUGAGCUUUGAACCAGCAACCCUUGGAACACAAAGCAGUAACACUACUCACUACGCUAACUCACAACUGCAGGCGCAAGCUAAAGUUUAACUAGCUUACCGUAUGCAUUGUUACAACCCGCUAUCUGGGACAGGAAGGUUUCUUUUUGUGUGCAGUGCCAUAUUUUGUGUGCAGGUCCGAACUCCCUCCCAGAGUUUCCAGCCUGCCUUGCUUCCACCUCCCAGGAUGAUGUCACUAAAUGGCGGCCAUGUUUAAAGAGGAAGAGGAGUGAGAAUGGCGUGGGAUGUUGGAGGUGGUUACAUGUGUUUCUGUUAAGAGAGUGUGUUUGGUUGUGCUGCUUGUAUGCUAUUUUCUGACUGCUGUUCUGGUUUUUGGACUUUGAGUUUAUUUGUACCUGUUUAUGUGCAUUCUAUUCAGCAUUGUAUAUAUGAUUCACUUGGUUCACCUGCAGUAGGGGUGUGGCUGCCAUUUCUUUUGGGAGAGGGUCCUUUGUCUCUGUUUUUGGCUUAGGUAGUUAGGGAAGUACUUGUAUUUUCUUUAUGUUCCUUUUAGUUAAGCUAGGUACCUAACAAGAGAAUUCUUUUGUCUAUUAUUUUGGCCUUGGCCCACCCUGAAGUUACUUCUGGUUUGGUUCCUUGUACAGUUAUGUGUUUUUUUUUUAUAAUUUUGUGUUUUACAAUAUACCACAACCUUUUUGAACAACCCUGUUUGUGUUGUUAUUCCUGGCUUCCCUUAUUUAAAGGUCAAAUUCCACUGAAUUCUGAGCUGGUUACUCUGUGCGGCCUAACCUAGACUGGGCCGUAACAGCAUUAAUUUACCAAGCAACAUUUACCUAAUUUACUGAUACAUAGAAGUCUUUAAGAAAUGUAUACAUUCAAGGCUAUAUAAUGUAUAUGUACAAAUACUAAACAAUAGUAUGCUAAAUAAGUAUGCUUUUAAAAAAAAAGGUUGUACACAAACUAACUAU